rnacentral:rRNA from 1 species
ACGAACUGUGCAAACGUUAUUCGGAAUCACUGGGCUUAAAGGGUGCGUAGGCGGUCAUGAAGGUCGGAUGUGAAAUCCCACGGCUCAACCGUGGAAUUGCGUUCGAAACCGCAUGACUUGAGGGAGACAGAGGUGAGCGGAACUGAUGGUGGAGCGGUGAAAUGUGUUGAUAUCAUCAGGAACACCGGUGGCGAAAGCGGCUCGCUGGGUCUCUUCUGACGCUGAGGCACGAAAGCUAGGGUAGCGAACGGG